GAGCUGACGACGAUCUUGGCCUCCAUGACGUUGGGGUCCAUGCACGACUGGGUGUGGUGGUUCUGGGCGACGAGGGCCCAGUUGGUGACGACGCCGGCGACUCGGCCGCCCUUGACGAUGAGAUCCUCGGCGGCGACGGCGUUGAAGAGCUUGACGUUGGGGCGGGCGAGGAGCUUGCUCAUGAUGGUGGAGGUGAAGAGGGCGGCGUGCUUGAUCACCACGUAGUGGUCCUGCUCGUCGUACUCGAUCUCGAGCUCGUCGAGGAACUUGUGGGCCGGCUUGCGGACCACCAUGGCGGAGAAGAGCUGGCCGCCGAGCCACGCGCCGCCGCCGGGGCUGACGGACUGCUCGAUGAUGGCGAUGUUGAUGUCGGGGUUCUUGCUGAGCUCGUAGGCGCAGGAGAGGCCGGCGGAUCCGGCGCCGACGACGACCACGUCGGUGUCGGCGUAGGUUAUCAUGUCCGUCAUGUAGCGGCGCGUCAUCUCACGCGCGACGAUGGAUUCCUUGAUGGGCUGGAAUUUGAAGUCGUCGAGGUUGUAGGGGGUGGAGGCCAUGGCGACGGCGAGGUUCUUGGGGGUGGAUUUGAUGGGCUGGGCGGCGCGUGUGGGCACGACGGCGGCGCCGUGGAAGGUGGACUUGUUGUCGAAGAAGGAGGUCUUGGUGAGGGAGGAUCUGAGGGUUGUAGCCAUGGCUGCCAUUGUUGCAGACUGGUUUUCUUUUC
rnacentral:lncRNA from 1 species